AACGACUCUCGGCAACGGAUAUCUCGGCUCUCGCAUCGAUGAAGAACGUAGCGAAAUGCGAUACUUGGUGUGAAUUGCAGAAUCCCGUGAACCAUCGAGUCUUUGAAGCCAAGUUGCGCCCAAAGCCAUUAGGCCGAGGGCACGUCUGCCUGGGCGUCACGUA
rnacentral:rRNA from 1 species